AAGUCGUAACAAGGUUUCCGUAGGUGAACCUGCGGAAGGAUCAUUAACGAAUAACUAUGGUGUCUUGGCUGUCGCUGGCUCCUCGGAGCAUCGUGCACGCCCGCCAUUUUUAUCUAUCCACCUGUGCACCGAAUGUAGGUCUGGAUGACUCUCGUCUCCGGGCGGAUGCGAGGUUUGCGUGUGCGUAGCAUGUUCGCAUUCGCGCGUGCGUUGCGUACGGGCUCACCUCGAAUUUCCAGACUCUACGUCUUUUUACACACCCCAAACGUAUGAUGCAGAAUGUAGUCAAUGGGCCUUUAAAAGCCUAUAAAACACUAUACAACUUUCAGCAACGGAUCUCUUGGCUCUC
rnacentral:misc_RNA from 1 species